rnacentral:lncRNA from 1 species
UUCACACCAAAGAAAAGGUGGAAAAAAAGUGCAAGAUAGUGUUGGUGGGAGGAACACUUAUUCCCCGUGUCUCAUGUCUUCAUGUGGAGGGCUUCCACUGGUUAAUGUUCCUAGCCUCUCUCUCCACCCACUGGAGGGAGAUUGACUCCCUGAUUAUGUUUGGAGAAUAACUAGGCACCCAUGUCCUAUAUACCCUUCUAGUUCCUUCCCUGUGGACUCUGGCUGCCAGCAGAAAGAAUGUGUCCUGGCAGUUCUCUGCCUUGUGCAGAGAAUAGCCUGUAGCCAGCCCAGCCAGUGACAGAGUGAGUCCAGAGGUGUAAUAUAUUGGCAGGCCAACCUGGCUGCAGCCCUGAAGCUACCUUCCCGUUUUAUUAGCAAUAGUUACUUUGACCUCCAUCGACCUGACUCCAGCUCUCUCAGUUCCAAACUUGGAUAGGAAGGAGGGUGUUCUUUACUGGAUCCCUCAAAAAUUCAUGGAACCUAUAUGACCAGAUUCUGAUUACCUUCACUUCCUUACCACCAGCUUUACUCACCUAGUUUAUUGCAAUUUCAGUAGCCUCUCAAUUGCCUUCCUUGUUUCCACUCCUGUCCCCCUUACAGAACAUAUCACCAAGUGUGAUUCUUUUAAAUGAAAGUCAGGUAUUGACAUACGUCUGCUCAAAACCCUCUCCCUAUCAUGGAGUAAAUGCUGAAGUCCUUCACAUGCAUAACCUGCUCAUGACCUCAAGAGCUCCUCUCCUUUCUCCCCUUGCUCACUCCAUCCCAACCCACACCUGCCUCCUGGCCACUCCCCAAACCUGCCAGGCACAUUCCCAACCAAGGACUUUUGCACUUAGUUCUCUCUGCCUGUAAACAUCUUCCCCCAGACAGCCACAUAGCUUGUUCUCUCCCUUCCUGUCACCUCAGUGAGGAGCGUUGCCUCAUCACCCCACUGAAAUUUACAAUCCCUCACUGCUCCCAACCCUGACAUAUUCCUCAUUCUCUUUAGCACUUACCACCAGCAAGCUCAAAAAGCGUACCAUAGAUGGAAAUUAUGGCCAAAAUGACUUCUAGUAACAGAUGUACUAGAUUAUCCUGCUUCCACAGGCUUUUCCGUCUCCUAAAGCCUGAAAAUACUCUGAGCUCUCACAUGGCACAUUGUUGCAUUCUUGCUGUAUUCGGAAUAUGUGUGCUUGUCCCUGCUCUGAAGGCACUUCUGUGCAUGUGUCCACCACAGAGCCCUAUGUGCUAAGGUCCUUUCGUGUCUGACAAGGAAGGGAUGUGGUUUUAGUCAAGUAACCAAAGCAGAGGAGUCAAGAUUUUUGCUUUCCUUUUAUCCCCUUCUUGGCCUUGUACAAACUUUGGAUAUUAUGGGCAAGCUGAUCACUGCAUCUUAAAAAUGGAACUACAUAAAGCUCUGGUCAGAGGAAAUGAAAUAUGGGGACAAACUUGUGAAAUAAUGGCAAGAUAGGAGCUUUAGCUUAAAAAGAUGUUUAGGAAAGAUAGAUAUGACUACGGUCAAACUAUGAAUCGUAUGGAUAAGGAAGACUAGUUGACCAUAAA